CAGGCAGGAGCUACCACGCCCGGCUCUCCAUAUAUCUUCUGAACCUUAACUUGAGAGGAACACAAAAAGAAGUGAUACCAGAGUCAUGGAGGAAAAGCCACUGUCUCAGGAACUGAGACCAUGGGAGGGACAUGAUCACUUUUAGAAAGACACAGUCAGAAGAAAGAAGGAAAAAGAGAGGAAGAAAGUGGCUCCUCCCCCUUUUUCUAAUGCCUUGUCGUCAGAAUUUCACAGUACUCCUUGGCCCUGGAUUCAGGCAUGGCUGGAUCGAGAGGCUCAGAUAAUAUCUUCACUUCUUUUUGCUGUAGACUUUGGUCUUGCUGGUCACGUUCUUAGGUUGGCUCUUUCUAAGUGGUGGCUAAGUUGCCGCAAUAGUAUUAUUCUGCUCCACUUCUAGCCCACACAGCAUACCUCUGACAGAGGUGAUUGGGCCGAUAUGGCUGAUGCUGCUCCUGGGAACUGUGCACUGCCAGAUUGUUUCCACAAGAACACCCAAACCUCCUCUAAGUACAGGGGGUAAAAGAAGAAGGAAAUUAAGAAAAGCAGCCCAUUUGGAAGUACAUAGGGAAGGAGAUGGUUCUAGUACCACAGAUAACACACAAGAGGGAGCAGUUCAGAACCACGGUACAAGCACCUCUCACAGCGUUGGCACUGUCUUCAGAGAUCUCUGGCAUGCUGCUUUCUUUUUAUCAGGAUCAAAGAAAGCAAAGAAUUCAAUUGAUAAAUCAACUGAAACUGACAAUGGCUAUGUAUCCCUUGAUGGGAAAAAGACUGUUAAAAGCAGUGAAGAUGGAAUACAAAACCAUGAACCUCAGUGUGAAACUAUUCGACCAGAAGAGACAGCCUGGAACACAGGAACACUGAGGAAUGGUCCUAGCAAAGAUACCCAGAGGACAAUAACAAAUGUCUCUGAUGAAGUCUCCAGUGAGGAAGGUCCUGAAACAGGAUACUCAUUACGUCGUCAUGUGGACAGGACUUCUGAAGGUGUUCUUCGGAAUAGAAAGUCACACCAUUAUAAGAAACAUUACCCUAAUGAGGACGCCCCUAAAUCGGGUACUAGUUGCAGCUCUCGCUGUUCAAGUUCCAGACAGGAUUCUGAGAGUGCAAGGCCAGAAUCUGAAACAGAAGAUGUGUUAUGGGAAGACUUGUUACAUUGUGCAGAAUGCCAUUCAUCUUGUACCAGUGAGACAGAUGUGGAAAAUCCUCAGAUUAAUCCGUGUGUGAAAAAAGAAUAUAGAGACGACCCUUUUCAUCAGAGUCAUUUGCCCUGGCUCCAUAGUUCCCACCCAGGAUUAGAAAAAAUAAGUGCUAUAGUAUGGGAAGGUAAUGAUUGUAAGAAAGCAGACAUGUCUGUACUUGAAAUCAGUGGAAUGAUAAUGAACAGAGUGAGUUUUUAAAUUUUAUUCUUGUAGUUCAAGGGUAAGACUUAGUGAUUAUGUGUAAGAUAAUUACUGGAAUGUUAUAUUAGUAACCUUCUGACCUCAUUUCUUCACCCCGAAAAAAAAGUUAUAUGUGUAUAUUUGUUUCUGUCUGUAAUUCAAACAGUGAUUUGUCACCAAA
rnacentral:sRNA from 1 species